rnacentral:rRNA from 1 species
CCUACGGGUGGCAGCAGUAGGGAAUUUUGCGCAAUGGGCGAAAGCCUGACGCAGCAACGCCGCGUGAUUGAUUAAGCCCUUCGGGGUGUAAAGAUCUGUCAGUGGGGACGAAACUUGACGGUACCCACAGAGGAAGCACCGGCUAACUCCGUGCCAGCAGCCGCGGUAAUACGGAGGGUGCAAGCGUUGUCCGGAAUCAUUGGGCGGAAAGUGUUCGUAGGUGGCAUAUUAAGUCUGGUGUUAAAUGCAGAGGCUCAACUUCUGUUCGGCACUGGAUACUGGUAAACUAGAAUGCGGUAGAGGUAAAGGGAAUUCCAGGUGUAGCGGUGAAAUGCGUAGAUAUAAGGAGGAACAUCAGUGGCGAAGGCGGUUUACUGGGCCGUAAUUGACACUGAGGAACGAAAGCCGGGGUAGCAAAUGGGAUUAGAUACCCGUGUAGUC